GGCACACACUUCUUUUUUACACACACUUUUAACACCUUAGUAUAAGAAUGUAAUAGUCUCUUAAUUGAGCAUAAAUAAAAACAAAACUUUCAGCAACGGAUCUCUUGGCUCUCGCAUCGAUGAAGAACGCAGCGAAUUGCGAUAAGUAAUGUGAAUUGCAGAAUUCAGUGAAUCAUCGAAUCUUUGAACGCACCUUGCACUCUUUGGUAUUCCGAAGAGUAUGUCUGUUUGAGUGUCAUGAAACUCUCAACCCCCCUAUUUUGUAAUGAGAUGGGUGUGGGAUUGGAUUAUGGUUGUCUGUCGGCGUAAUUGCCGGCUCAACUGAAAUACACGAGCAACCCUAUUGAAAUAAACGGUUUGACUUGGCGUAAUAAUUAUUUCGCUAAGGACGUUUUCUUCAAAUAUAAGAGGUGCUUCUAAUUCGCUUCUAAUAGCAUUUAAGCUUUAGACCUCAAAUCAGUCAGGACUACCCGCUGAACUUAAGCAUAUCAAUAAGCGGAGGAAAAGAAACUAACAAGGAUUCCCCUAGUAACGGCGAGUGAAGUGGGAAAAGCUCAACUUUGAAAUCUGGCACCUUCGGUGUCCGAGUUGUAGUCUCAAGAAGUGUUUUCUGUGCUGGUCCAUGUAUGAGUCUGUUGGAACACAGCGUCAUAGAGGGUGACAACCCCGUUCAUGACAUGGAUACC
rnacentral:rRNA from 1 species